rnacentral:misc_RNA from 1 species
UCAUCACCCAUGAAACGAAGGAAUGCCAUGUAAACAGGGGCCAUGCCAAGCUGGAAGGCUUCAAAGUGCAGGCAGAAGUAUUGGCCAAAACAAUGAAACACCGUCAGCAUCCAAGUUGCGUUCUCCACCUCACGGGGAUUUGACUUCACAUAACGAUGAUUGAAAGUGCAUCCUGUGUGCAUGUCCACCUUGUGAUCGUCCCUCAAGUGAGAAACUAGGAAAGGAAUAUCUCCAACAGUAGAGCAUUCUGAUCCAGCAUAUGGACAAUUAUAUGGCCUGAAGUUGCAAACUACCUCAUGCUUAAGUUUACUGUAAUAUGGAAAUAUCUCCGGACAACCCAAGCUACAAUAUUUGCAUGGUAAUUCAAGUGACUCAGCCACCUUCUCUAGUGCUAAACACCUAAUAUCUCCGAGCUCCUGUCGACAAGUGGGGCACCUAUUGUGUACCCUUGUUUUACAGGU